rnacentral:rRNA from 1 species
GUUGUAUGGUUAAGUGACUAAGCGUACACGGUGGAUGCCUUGGCAGUCAGAGGCGAUGAAGGACGUAUUAACUUGCGAUAAGCCCAGAUUAGGUAGUAAAAACCACUUGAGUCUGGGAUUUCCGAAUGGGGAAACCCACUUACAUAAGUAAGUAUCGUUAUGUGAAUACAUAGCAUAACGAGGCGAACCGGGGGAACUGAAACAUCUAAGUACCCCGAGGAAAAGAAAUCAACCGAGAUUCCGAAAGUAGCGGCGAGCGAAAUUGGACUAGCCCUUAAGCUUUAUAGGCGUUAGGUGAACAAGCUGGAAAGCUUGGCGAUACAGGGUGAUAGCCCCGUAACUGACGACGCAUAUUCAGUGAAAUCGAGUAGGGCGGGACACGUGAUAUCCUGUCUGAAUAUGGGGGGACCAUCCUCCAA